rnacentral:rRNA from 1 species
GACGAACGCUGGCGGCGUGCUUAACACAUGCAAGUCGAACGGAAAGGCCCUGCUUUUGUGGGGUGCUCGAGUGGCGAACGGGUGAGUAACACGUGAGUAACCUGCCCUUGACUUUGGGAUAACUUCAGGAAACUGGGGCUAAUACCGGAUAGGAGCUCCUGCUGCAUGGUGGGGGUUGGAAAGUUUCGGCGGUUGGGGAUGGACUCGCGGCUUAUCAGCUUGUUGGUGGGGUAGUGGCUUACCAAGGCUUUGACGGGUAGCCGGCCUGAGAGGGUGGCCGGCCACAUUGGGACUGAGAUACGGCCCAGACUCCUACGGGAGGCAGCAGUGGGGAAUAUUGCACAAUGGGCGGAAGCCUGAUGCAGCAACGCCGCGUGCGGGAUGACGGCCUUCGGGUUGUAAACCGCUUUCGCCUGUGACGAAGCGUGAGUGACGGUAAUGGGUAAAGAAGCACCGGCUAACUACGUGCCAGCAGCCGCGGUGAUACGUAGGGUGCGAGCGUUGUCCGGAUUUAUUGGGCGUAAAGGGCUCGUAGGUGGUUGAUCGCGUCGGAAGUGUAAUCUUGGGGCUUAACCCUGAGCGUGCUUUCGAUACGGGUUGACUUGAGGAAGGUAGGGGAGAAUGGAAUUCCUGGUGGAGCGGUGGAAUGCGCAGAUAUCAGGAGGAACACCAGUGGCGAAGGCGGUUCUCUGGGCCUUUCCUGACGCUGAGGAGCGAAAGCGUGGGGAGCGAACAGGCUUAGAUACCCUGGUAGUCCACGCUGUAAACGGUGGGUACUAGGUGUGGGGUCCAUUCCACGGGUUCCGUGCCGUAGCUAACGCUUUAAGUACCCCGCCUGGGGAGUACGGCCGCAAGGCUAAAACUCAAAGGAAUUGACGGGGCCCCGCACAAGCGGCGGAGCAUGCGGAUUAAUUCGAUGCAACGCGUAGAACCUUACCUGGGUUUGACAUGGAUCGGGAGUGCUCAGAGAUGGGUGUGCCUCUUUUGGGGUCGGUUCACAGGUGGUGCAUGGCUGUCGUCAGCUCGUGUCGUGAGAUGUUGGGUUAAGUCCCGCAACGAGCGCAACCCUUGUUCACUGUUGCCAGCACGUUAUGGUGGGGACUCAGUGGAGACCGCCGGGGUCAACUCGGAGGAAGGUGGGGAUGACGUCAAGUCAUCAUGCCCCUUAUGUCCAGGGCUUCACGCAUGCUACAAUGGCUGGUACAGAGAGUGGCGAGCCUGUGAGGGUGAGCGAAUCUCGGAAAGCCGGUCCCAGUUCGGAUUGGGGUCUGCAACUCGACCUCAUGAAGUCGGAGUCGCUAGUAAUCGCAGAUCAGCAACGCUGCGGUGAAUACGUUCCCGGGGCU